UACUAGAGUAGCACUCGCAUAUCAAUAAGCGGAGGAAAAGAAACUAACAAGGAUUCCCCUAGUAACGGCGAGUGAAGCGGGAAGAGCUCAAAUUUGAAAUCUUAAAGGGUUUCCCUUUACGAAUUGUAGUUUAAAGAAGUGUUUUCUGUUGAGGUUUUCGGUAAAAGUUCUUUGGAAUAGGACAUCAUAGAGGGUGAGAUCCCGUAUUUGACCUUUACUUUCAACUUUGUGAUACACUUUCAAAGAGUCGGAUUGUUUGGGAAUGCAGUCCAAAAUGGGUGGUAAAUUUCAUCUAAAGCUAAAUAUUGGCGAGAGACCGAUAGCGAACAAGUACCGUGAGGGAAAGAUGAAAAGAACUUUGAAAAGAGAGUUAAACAGUACGUGAAAUUGUCAAAAGGGAAGCGUUUGACACCAGUGUUGUUUUUCUGAAAAUCAAUUAAAGAACUGUUUAUGCUAAGUUGUUUAGACUUUAUCAGCUAACUGUUUAGUUUUGAGCUUUUCUUUAAUGCACUUUUCAGUUAACAAGUCAACAUCAAUUUCUUUUGCUGUAAAAAAGCUUGAGGAAGGUGGCUUGAGAUUCGUCUUAAGUGUUUAUAGCCUCUUGCCUAUGCAGUCGGAGAGAUUGAGGUCUGCAGCGUAGAUCCUUCGGGGCUAAAUGCAUUUGUGCUAAGUUAUAGCAUUUUAUAGACAACUUGUUGACUAUGAUUUGUCUUGUAGCUUACUCGCUUAUGUUAUUUUACCUACGCUUAGGAUGUUGAGCGCAUGUCUCUCUCU
rnacentral:rRNA from 1 species